rnacentral:rRNA from 1 species
ACCCGCUGAACUUAAGCAUAUCAAUAAGCGGAGGAAAAGAAACUAACAAGGAUUCCCCUAGUAACUGCGAGUGAAGCGGGAAAAGCUCAAAUUUAAAAUCUGGUGGCCUUUGGUCAUCCGAGUUGUAAUUUAGAGAAGCGUCUUCCGCGCUGAACCGUGCACAAGUCUCCUGGAAUGGAGCGUCAUAGAGGGUGAGAAUCCCGUCUUUGGCACGGAACAUCAGGGCUUCUGUGAUGCGCUCUCGACGAGUCGAGUUGUUUGGGAAUGCAGCUCAAAAUGGGUGGUGAACUCCAUCUAAAGCUAAAUAUUGGCGAGAGACCGAUAGCGAACAAGUACCGUGAGGGAAAGAUGAAAAGCACUUUGGAAAGAGAGUGAAACAGUACGUGAAAUUGUUGAAAGGGAAACGCUUGAAGUCAGUCGCGUCGACCGAGACUCAGCCUUGCCUCGGCUUGGUGUACUUCUCGGCUUGACGGGUCAGCAUCAAUUUCGAUCCUCGGAUAAUGGCAAGGGAAAGGUAGCACCUUUUUAGGUGUGUUAUAGUCCUUCGUCGCAUACGGGGGUUGGGAUUGA